UAGCACUUAAAUAAUUUCUGUGGAAAAUAAAAAUUUAUCAUAGGUUCAAUAAAUAUGUUGGUGCAUUUCAUGCUGGUGCAUAUUUAAUUUUGUGUUGUUGCCUUUUGUUUGAAUUUAUUUGCAUUCAAGAUUUUUAUUUCGAAAAGGGUUUGGAAAAGAAAGCAGAAAAGAAAAAAAAGGAAAAGAAAACCCCCAGCCGAACCCCCCUCUCACCCCCUCGGCCCAGCCCCUCUCUGGCCUGCUUACUCCCCCACACUGGCCCAUCAACGGCGGCCCAGAGCUGACCGCGCCCCUUCCCCCUUCCUUGCUGGCUGACGCGCGGGCCCCUCAUGUCAGCAGCGCCCCCUUCUUCUCCAAGCCGUGUUCGAGCAGGACACCUCCGCGAUCCGAGCAAUCUUCCCCGU
rnacentral:lncRNA from 1 species